AUUGAACGCUGGCGGCAGGCCUAACACAUGCAAGUCGAACGAGUGGCGGACGGGUGAGUAAUGUCUGGGAAACUGCCCGAUGGAGGGGGAUAACUACUGGAAACGGUAGCUAAUACAGCAUACCAUCGGAUGUGCCCAGAUGGGAUUAGCUAGUGGGUGGGGUAACGGCUCACCUAGGCGACGAUCCCUAGCUGGUCUGCGAGGAUGACCAGCAACACUGGAAGUGAGACACGGUCCAGAAGCCUACGAGAGGCAGCAGUGGGGAAUAGUGAACAAUGGGCGCAAGCCUGAUGCAGCCAUGCCGCGUGUAUGAAGAAGGCCGUAGGGUUGUAAAGUACUUUAAGCGAGGAGGCGUUACUCGCAGAAGAAGCACCGGCUAACUCCGUGCCAGCAGCCGCGGUAAUAC
rnacentral:rRNA from 1 species